rnacentral:rRNA from 1 species
GCAGGUGGUUUGUUAAGUCAGAUGUGAAAGUCCCGGGGCUCAACCUCGGAAUUUGCAUUUGAAAACUGGCAAACUAGAGUACUGUAGAGGGGGGUAGAAUUUCAGGUGUAGCGGUGAAAUGCGUAGAGAUCUGAAGGAAUACCGGUGGCGAAGGCGGCCCCCCUGGACAGAUACUGACACUCAGAUGCGAAAGCGUGGGGAGCAAACAGGAUUAGAUACCCUGGUAG